CACAAAGCCUGAUGACAUCACACAGGGCGUCACAGCCCCACAGGGGCCCCUGCCUGUAAGCUCCAACCAGCAGGUGGAAUCCAGGAGUUCCAAGGUCCUAAGGGUCCUUACCCCUCAGCUGAGAAAAUAGGGAAAGCCUCAUAUUAGGUGAGGCUAGAAUCCAGGGUGACUCUCUUCUCUAGGCAAGGCCUAAUUUUUAGCUUUUUAUAUUUAUUUAUUUAUUUAUUUAUUUAUUUAUUUAUUUAUUUAUUUAUUUAUUUUUGAGAUGGAGUCUCGCUCUGUCCCCCAGGAUGGAGUGCAGUGGUGCAAUCUCUGCAAUCUCUGCGAUCUCCGCUCACUGCAAGCUCCGCCUCCCGGGUUCACGCCAUUCUCCUGUCUCAGCCUCCGGAGUAGCUGGGACUACAGGCGCCCACCACCACGCCCGGCUAAUUUUUUGUAUUUUUAAUAGAGAUGGGGUUUCACCGUGUUAGCCAGGAUGGUCUCCAUCUCCGGACCUCGUGAUCGGCCCGACUCGGCCUCCCAAAGUGCUGGGAUUACAGGCGUGAGCCACCGCGCCCGGCUAAUUUUUAGCAUUUUUGAAAUAAACUUAAGAAAAAGAACAAGCUUUCAGAAAACAUGAAGAAACUUAAAGAUGAGCCAAAGGGUUAUUUGAUUGCCUUUUAAUUCUUUACUCUACGUUACUCAACAUUUAGAUGUCAGUACACAAGUUCAGCCAAAUGCUUGUGAAAUUUCUUCUGAACGCAUCCCAGGAGACUUGACCCUCCCCGCUUCAGGAUGCUGACUCUGUUUUGCCUGAAACCAGACAAGCUCUGCUUCAGGGUCUGUGAGUGGAAGGGGGUGGGUGGGAACCUCUCGCAACCUCUCCUGGGACAGACACAAUGGGCAAUCGUGACCUCCUGGGGUAGAUACUGAAACUGUGACAAGUGAUAACAAAACUGGCAGAAAUCAGUUGGACCCAAUAUGGCCAACUGGAGUUUCUGCAGAAAGAGCUUGCUGAUAUCACAGCCUGAAUUUCCACGCAUGUUUCGUAUUAACUGCCCCGGAAUUUGAUUUGCACACAGCACCCAUGAGGAAGCAUGAAGAGAUAACUGCGCAUGUCUGAGGACUUGCCAGACCUCCUCUUUCCUUCCACCGAUCUCCUGCUAAUCCCGGAACCCACCCUCUAACCCUUUUCUAAUAAAAUUAUUUCCUUAAAGGCAGCACAGCGAGACAGAUUUGAGCUGGACUCCUGUCUCCGUGUUGGUCAAUUUGCAAUGAAAAGCUUUUCUUUUCUCUGAAACCCAGUGUCUUAGUAUUUAUUGGCUUCUAGCGCACGGGUCAGUGACCUCUUUUGCUCGGUAACAACAUAAUGGGCUAUAAUGACCUCCUGGGGCAGACGGACGGGCAUUAAUGACGUCCAAGCCAAACUCAUGAGUCUCCUUUCUGCAGGCUCGAUGGGAAGGUCCUUCUUGCCCAUUAAUAAUAUAAAAGAGCCGCAAAGGGCAACAACUUGUCCUUUAUCUUAGAAUCGCUGUCUUGGCAUGCCACAGACUACAGGACUUCUAAAAGCUUCAGUGUUGAAGCUCCUGAAUCUUCAUAGGGUGUAUCUCCCAUCUGGUGCACAUGUGUCUUCCUGAGUGUCUUCCUACGGCACCAGGUCUAACUGAUAUGACAACAUCAAUAUGGCGGAACAGCAUGAUGUGUGUGGAAGGUCUGGAUGAGCACUGUACCUGCAGAUCACAUGUGACAGAGAGAAGAAGGUUACACAGCCUGGGGAAGUCUAGUGGAUUGUGCCAUCCCGACCACGUAAGGGCAGACUGUUUUAUUGAUGGGGAUAAAGAAGAAUGAAUUUUCCAGAAUAAGUGCUCCAUACCAAGUGCCAAAGCCCACUGAAGACAGCACAUCUACUACUGGGGCUACCACUUGAUUAAGUUUAAGACAGUUACUGUCAUUUGCUACGGUCCAGUUGAUUUUGAUAGGGGCCCUACAGGGAUGGUGAAUGGGGAUAUGACGGGACCACUACUCCUGCAUCUUUUAAGUCUUUGAUGGUGUUGAUCUCUGCAACUGUUCCUGGAAUGUGGUGGUUUUUGCUUCUGAUUUACUGUCUUGGAAGGGUGUGCAAGGAGUGGGGAUGGGAAGUUUCAGGGGCUUCCUCUUGGCUGACUCUUCUGUAAUGAUCCUUCUUACACAGGUGAGCAAAAGUGACCUGCACCACUGCCAGGCCUGACCCAAAAGCCUCCCCAGAGGUUCCUUCUAUGUUCUUCCUGGGGUGAUGACAAUCAACACAACAUUGGAAACCACGUGUUCAAGAUGGCAGAGCCACCAUCAGCCUGGUUCCUGAAUGACCACGUGGAGCAACAUGGAAUAUCCAAGUGAGCAAGAAAUAGAGUCUUAUCUUCUUGCUUCAUUAUAUUUCGGAUAUUCUUGAAAAGGGGUUCAGCCUACCCCAAAUACAAGAGACAUGAAAGAAAAGGAUAAAGAUGAAAAAUAAGUGAAUGGUGUCAAGUGAAAUAAACAAUGUAACAC
rnacentral:lncRNA from 1 species